GAAAGAUGCUUCUCUUCUGUUCUCACUUCGUCUUUCAUUUCUUCAAGCAAAAGGGAAACCCUUCUCUCUCUCUACCAUUAUAAUCUCUAAUUUUUCAAGCUAAAUGAUCCAUUAAGAACCCUAGGGUUUCAAAAUGAGCAACAACACAACCCCCACCACCCCUACUUCCAAUGGCAGCAACUCUGUUCAUUCCAAUCACCAGCAAGAUCCCGCCUCCUACUUUCUCAAGCUUGCGCGGCAGUACUCGCCGGCGCCUGGGGCUCCUUGUGCGUCGACGAUGAUGGAAGAGGACGACCGGGAGGAUGAGCCUACUGAGCUCAACACGAUCAAUAGCUCCGGAGGGUUUCUUGUGAUGUCCACCGACAAGCUUUCUAUUAAGUACACAAAUGUUAAUCUUCACGGCCAUGACGUCGGCGCUGUCCAAGCCAAUAAGCCUGCUCCUGUUAAGCGGCUUGUUUAUUACUUCGAGAUUUAUGUUAAGAAUGCUGGGGCUAAAGGGCAGAUUGCUAUUGGCUUCACUAAUGACACCUUUAAGAUGCGCCGGCAACCCGGUUGGGAAGCAAACAGUUGCGGAUAUCAUGGAGAUGAUGGAUAUCUGUAUCGUGGACAAGGAAAGGGUGAGCAAUUUGGUCCAACCUUUACUGCCAAGGAUACAGUUGGUGCUGGUAUUAAUUAUGCUUCACAGGAAUUCUUUUUCACGUAAGAAAGUGCCCACUUUGGUCAAUAUAUUUGUUGCUGGAUUAAAAGUAUUAUUGCAUGUGCAAGUUGUAAGUGUAAAUACACCUUCUAUUUUGAAAUAUUUACUUUAACAUGUGUUCCUAUGUUGUAGUAAAAAUGGAGCAGUAGUUGGGGCGGUGUGCAAUGAAAUGAAAGGUCCCUUGUUCCCUACAGUUGCUGUUCACAGCCAGAAUGAAGAGAUUGAAGUCAACUUUGGGCAGAAACAAUUUGCUUUUGAUCUUAAGGAAUAUGAAGCACAGGAAAGGAUGAAGCAACAAAUUACAAUUGAGAAAAUAUCCUUGCCACCAAAUGUCAGUUAUGGACUUGUUCGCGCCUACUUACUGCAUUAUGGCUAUGAGGAGACUCUCAAUUCUUUUGACUUGGCUAGUAAAAGUACUGUCCCUCCUAUAUAUAUAGCUCAAGAGAAUGGGUUUGACGAGCAGGACAUCACAUAUGCAUUAAACCAGAGAAAAACUCUUCGACAGUUAAUUAGGAAUGGUGAUAUUGAUGCUGCAAUUGGUAAACUUCGUGACUGGUAUCCACAGAUUGUUCAGGAUGAAAGAUCGGCCACUUGCUUUCUGCUUCACUGUCAAAAAUUUAUUGAAUUGGUUCGGGUUGGAUCUCUGGAGGAGGCUGUGAAAUAUGGAAGGAUUGAAUUGGCAAAGUUCUUUGAGUUGCCUGGGUUUGAUGAUCUAGUUCAGGACUGUGUUGCUUUGCUGGCAUAUGAACAGCCACAAGACUCCUCUGUUGGCUAUCUUCUUGAAGAGUCACAGCGUGAGAUAGUGGCCGACACUGUAAAUGCUAUGAUCUUGUCAACAAAUCCCAAUCUGAAGGAUUUGCAAGGUUGCUUGCGCUCGUAUCUUGAGAGGUUACUGAGGCAGCUUACUGUUUGCUGUUUGGAGAGAAGGUCCUUGAAUGGGGAUCAAGGUGAAGCUUUCCAUUUGCAGAGAGUACUCAACAGUGGCAAGAAGGCCAAGUGCUAACUCACAUGAUCUCCUUUGUCUUUCACUGUUCAUAUUGGCGGUAAACCUUUUCCUGAACUGCAAUUCAAGCGAUCAGAUAAAGCAGAGCGAGUGUCGUGCGUCGGUGGACUCCUUCAUGUAUGGCUAAGAUUUGAGGUGAGAGUUAAAGGUAUUUCUCAAUUUCCCCAAAGCUUGUAACCUUGCAAAAUAUGAUCUUGAACUGUGGUCUCUGACUAUUCUUCUUACAUGUGGUUAUAGUAGUUAAUUUCCGAGGUUCCUGUAUAUAUGUGGUUUACAGGAGUAUACAUUGUCCAAGAUUUUUAGCAUUUACGCUCCGUUUCAUUCUAUAGAAAACAUGUUGAAAGUUCUGUUGUUGCAUUGCAUGGAUUUGUAUAAGCUUUCGUCUCGGUAUUUUUGAGUAGUUAAGCAAAAUAAUUCUGUGAUUGUUUGAAGCAGUUAACUCUAUGACCCUAUUGGACCUUUUGCCAUUACGGGAUGGGCCAACAUUUUGAAUUCUUCUAUUAGGCUGCUUGAUUAUUUUAAGAAAGGGUAAAUUAUAGUUAUUUUUGUUUUCAAUUUGAAAUAAUUUGGACUCUUUUAAAAUUCAUUUUGUUAAUGAAA
rnacentral:misc_RNA from 1 species